rnacentral:misc_RNA from 1 species
GAAAAGAGUUAGUACUAAAAAACUCUCAAUAUUCUCUAAGAGUAUUUUGAAAAAUUUUCUCAUAACUAAUCUAUGUGAAUACCAUCAGAAGCCAGAUAUUUGGAUGGCUAGUGAUUUGCUACAACCCGACCUGGUUAUUAGAAAAUUCUUCAAGCUGUUUGAGGUAAUUUACUAAAUAAUAAAAUUUUAAUUAUAACAAAUUCAUACUUAAUUAAAGUUGAUCUUGUUUAGUUGAGAUUUAAUGCUUCUUAACAGUGGUAUCAGAGCCAUUUUAA